rnacentral:rRNA from 1 species
GGGGGAUAUUGCGCAAUGGGGGAAACCCUGACGCAGCAACGCCGCGUGAAGGAUGAAGGUCUUCGGAUUGUAAACUUCUUUUAUUAAGGACGAAGAAAGUGACGGUACUUAAUGAAUAAGCUCCGGCUAACUACGUGCCAGCAGCCGCGGUAAUACGUAGGGAGCAAGCGUUGUCCGGAUUUACUGGGUGUAAAGGGUGCGUAGGCGGCUUUGCAAGUCAGAUGUGAAAUCUAUGGGCUCAACCCAUAGCCUGCAUUUGAAACUGCAGAGCUUGAGUGAAGUAGAGGCAGGCGGAAUUCCCCGUGUAGCGGUGAAAUGCGUAGAGAUGGGGAGGAACACCAGUGGCGAAGGCGGCCUGCUGGGCUUUAACUGACGCUGAGGCACGAAAGCGUGGGUAGCAAACAGGAUUAGAUACCCUGGUAGUCCACGCUGUAAACGAUGAUUACUAGGUGUGGGGGGUCUGACCCCUUCCGUGCCGGAGUUAACGCAAUAAGCAAUCCACCUGGGAAGUACGUUCGCAAGAAUGAAACUCAAAGGAAUUGACGGGGGCCCGCACAAGCAGUGGAGUAUGUGGUUUAAUUCGACGCAACGCGAAGAACCUUACCAAGUCUUGACAUCCUGCGACGAUGCUGGAAACAGUAUUUUCCUUCGGGACGCAGAGACAGGUGGUGCAUGGUUGUCGUCAGCUCGUGUCGUGAGAUGUUGGGUUAAGUCCCGCAACGAGCGCAACCCUUACUGUCAGUUACUACGCAAGAGGACUCUGGCAGGACUGCCGUUGACAAAACGGAGGAAGGUGGGGAUGACGUCAAAUCAUCAUGCCCUUUAUGACCUGGGCUACACACGUACUACAAUGGCGUUAAACAAAGAGAAGCAAGACCGCGAGGUGGAGCAAAACUCAAAAACAACGUCUCAGUUCAGAUUGCAGGCUGCAAUUCGCCUGCAUGAAGUCGGAAUUGCUAGUAAUCGCAGAUCAGCAUGCUGCGGUGAAUACGUUCCCG